rnacentral:lncRNA from 10 species
GAGGGGAGGAGCCAAGAUGGCCGAAUAGGAACAGCUCCGGUCUACAGCUCCCAGCGUGAGCGACACAGAAGACGGGUGAUUUCUGCAUUUCCAUCUGAGGAAUGGGAAGAUACAGUGCAGUCGGAAGUGUUACUGAGAGAAUUUUCACAUUAUACUAUGAUCACUUGGGAUUCCUACAUAAGCUGACUCUGGGUCGCUUUGAAGCUAGUGGACCACCCACAGCCUUUGGAAAUUCUAGAAAUCUUUUUGGACAGCCUCCAGAUAUGGGCUUUGAGACUGCGCUUGCCCCACAGCACACCUCCUUAGAUGAAAUUAUCUUUUUUGCAUAUGUACCUGAGAACGAACCCCAGGAAACGAUCUACAGCAAGAAGUUCGGCAAUAUACACUAUGGAAAAGUGAUACACUCUGGGUAGUGAUAUGCAUUUAUUUAGAUGGCAUAUUGGUUUCUAGAAUCUACUUUUUAAAUUUUUUGAGAUAGGGUCUUGCUCUGUCAUCCAGGCUGGAGUGCAGUAGUGCGAUGACAGCUCACUGCAGCCUCAAUCUCCCAGGCUCAAGCAAUGCUCUGGCCCCAGCCUCCAGAAUAGCUGGGACUGCAGGCACACACCACCAAGCCCGGCUAAGUUUUGUAUUUUUUGUAGAGAUGGGGUUUCACCAUGUUGCCCAGGCUGGUCUCAAACCCCUGAGCUCAAGGGAUUCACCCACCUCAGCUUCCCAAACUGCUGAGGUUACAAGUGUGAGCCACUGCAGCUGGCCAAUAGAAUCUAAAUUUUUGGGCCUACUUUUUUGAAUAAUUUUCUUGGUCAAAUAGAGUAAGUAUUUUUUUGACACCCCACAAGGCCAAAUACAUUUAUAAACUCCUAGAUGUCUUGCAUGCUGCCCCAAUUUUAGAAACCUAGGACCAUUUAUAUCAGUGCCAUCAGGCCAAGCUAUAGAAAUGUGUUUCGUGAGUAUCAAAAAUAUUCUGGACAACACUGGAUACUUCCUAUCCACUGAGUUUACUCAAAUGACAAUUCUUGUAUAUCCUAGAGACCAACACAUUUAAUGUAGUGGAGGCUAUCUUUUAUGAAAUAUUGCAUUGAACAAUAUACAGAAUUCUCAGAAAUGCUUACAGUAAGAGUCAAUAACCCUUAAAGCUACCUUUAAGGCCUAAUAACUCUUAUUCAGAAUAUGAAUUCUGGCUGGGUGCCAUGGCUCACACCUGUAAUCCCAGAACUUUGGGAGGCCAAGGCCAGCAGAUCAGUUGAGACCAGGAGUUGGAGACCAGUCUGACCAACAUGGUGAAACUCCAUCUCUACUAAAAAUAAAAAAAA